AAUGAACGUUGGCGGCGUGGAUUAGGCAUGCAAGUCGAGCGCGAACCCCGCAAGGGGGGAGAGCGGCAAACGGGGUAGGAAGGAGUAGGUGACGUACCCUCCGGACGGGGAUAGCCAGGGGAAACCCUGGGUAAUACCCGAUGACCUCUUUCGGCAUGAUCGCUGAAGGAGCAAAGGUGUGAUUCCACCGGAGGAGCGGCUUACUUAGUAUUAGCUUGUUGGUGAGGUAACGGCUCACCAAGGCUGUGAUGCUUAGGGGAUGUGAGAGCAUGAUCCCCACCACUGGGACUGAGAUACUGCCCAGACACCUACGGGUGGCUGCAGUCGAGAAUCUUCGGCAAUGGGCGCAAGCCUGACCGAGCGACGCCGCGUGUGGGAUGAAGGCCCUUGGGUUGUAAACCACUGUCAGAGGGGAUGAAGUGCCGGAGAGCAAUCUCUCCGGUUUGACAUAGCCUCAGAGGAAGCACGGGCUAAGUUCGUGCCAGCAGCCGCAGUAAAAC
rnacentral:rRNA from 1 species